UGGGGAAUAUUGGACAAUGGGCGAAAGCCUGAUCCAGCCAUGCCGCGUGUGUGAAGAAGGUCUUCGGAUUGUAAAGCACUUUAAGUUGGGAGGAAGGGCAGUAACUUAAUACGUUGCUGUUUUGACGUUACCGACAGAAUAAGCACCGGCUAACUCUGUGCCAGCAGCCGCGGUAAUACAGAGGGUGCAAGCGUUAAUCGGAAUUACUGGGCGUAAAGCGCGCGUAGGUGGUUUGUUAAGUUGGAUGUGAAAGCCCCGGGCUCAACCUGGGAACUGCAUUCAAAACUGACAAGCUAGAGUAUGGUAGAGGGUGGUGGAAUUUCCUGUGUAGCGGUGAAAUGCGUAGAUAUAGGAAGGAACACCAGUGGCGAAGGCGACCACCUGGACUGAUACUGACACUGAGGUGCGAAAGCGUGGGGAGCAAACA
rnacentral:rRNA from 1 species